rnacentral:rRNA from 1 species
GACGAACGCUGGCGGCGCGCCUAACACAUGCAAGUCGAGCGAGAACCAGGACUUCGGUCCUGGGGACAGCGGCGAACGGGUGAGUAUCACGUGAGUAACCUGCCCUCGGCACCGGAAUAGCACGGGGAAACUCGGAUUAAUGCCGGAUAGCCCCACAACCCUGCGGGGGGGUGGGCAAAGGUAGCUUUGGCCUCUGGCCGAGGAUGGGCUUGCGUCGGAUUAGGUUGUUGGUGGGGUAACGGCCUACCAAGGCGACGAGCCGUAGCUGGUCUGAGAGGACGAUCAGCCACACUGGGACUGAGACACGGCCCAGACUCCUACGGGAGGCAGCAGUGGGGAAUCUUGCGCAAUGGGUGAAAGCCUGACGCAGCGACGCCGCGUGCGGGAAGAAGGCCUUCGGGUUGUAAACCGCUUUCAGGAGGGACGAAGCCACUCGGGUUAAUAGCCCAGAGGGUGACGGUACCUCCAGAAGAAGCCCCGGCUAACUACGUGCCAGCCGCCGCAGUAAAAC